CUCCAGCAUCUCUCCUCUCGGCCCUCCCCAGAGCUGCGAUGGAGAAAAGGACAAGGAAGACGGAAUUGAAAGUAAUAAUCAUGCUUGGUCUCCGAGUCGAUCUCCAGAGACAAGGUCACAGAACUGUAACCUUACAAAAUAGGCUAACUACCAAGAAGACCACACCUUGAGUGCUUACGAGAUAAAGACAUCAAAAAAGUGACAACCACUAGCCUCUAUAGAAUUGGUCACCUGGAGGCAUCAUGACACCACUCUAAGUCUUCUGAUGAGAAAUUUAUGCUGUUGAUUAUUACUGAAGCUUUUAUUUUUUGAGCUCUGACUAUAUAACCACCCCACCCCAUCCCCAAGGUGGGCUUACAGUUUUGAAGGCACCAGCCUGCUGUGAGUCCCCUUUGCCUGGCAAAGUAAUAAAGCUGCCUCUUUUCUUCUAA